GAUGAACGCUAGCGGCAGGCUUAAUACAUGCAAGUCGUGGGGCAGCAUGAGUAGCAAUACUUGAUGGCGACCGGCAACGGGUGCGGAACACGUACACAACCUUCCGAUAGGUGGGGAAUAGCCCAGAGAAAUUUGGAUUAAUACCCCGUAACAUAUAGAGUAGGCAUCUUCUUUAUAUUAUAGCUUCGGCGCUUAUUGAUGGGUGUGCGUCUGAUUAGGUAGUUGGCGGGGUAACGGCCCACCAAGCCUACGAUCAGUAGCUGAUGUGAGAGCAUGAUCAGCCACACGGGCACUGAGACACGGGCCCGAAUCCUACGGGAGGCAGCAGUAAGGAAUAUUGGACAAUGGGCGAAAGCCUGAUCCAGCCAUGCCGCGUGAAGGAUUAAGGUCCUCUGGAUUGUAAACUUCUUUUAUUUGGGACGAAAAAAGGGAAUUCUUUCCCACUUGACGGUACCAAGUGAAUAAGCACCGGCUAACUCCGUGCCAGCAGCCGCGGUAA
rnacentral:rRNA from 1 species